GAGAUCGUCCCACCUCAACCUCCCAAAGUCCUUGGAUUUCAGCUUGCUCAAGCCACUCUUGGUCAAAGGAAUUGGGAGUUAUCAGGCCCCUGGCAUAAUGGAGAACCACCUACAAUGGUAGAAAAUUGGCCAUGUGAGUACUUUUUUCAGUGUCUCUGCUACUGGAUAGGUUCUCCAGCAGGUUAGGGCCUCUGAGGUCUCCCCUUGGGCAACACUGUUUACCUCUUCCGUUUCUCCCUUCCACAGUCCCUCCCUUCCAUUUGUUUAGCCCACCUCUCUACCAACUGUUGCUCUCUGUGGCAUUUAGGUUCAAAAUCCAACUGCCCAUUUGAAGCUCAUAAUCCACUUAAGGAUUAAAGCUCAUAAGCCCUAAGGAACUUGACUCAAACCCUUAGAAACCUUAGCCACCAUCACAGGUCAGGCAUGAAAGGGAAUUCAAGUCCUUAGACUCUGGCAAAUGUAAUUCUCUAUAAGAGACUAGCGUUGAAUUAUUUACUAGCUGAACAAGGAGUCUGUGAAGUUAUUAGUAAAACCUGCUGCACAUAUAUUAACAAAUCUGGACAAGUUGAGAUUAACAUUCAAAAGAUCUAUGAGCAAGUUACCUGGUUACAUAACCAGGGCACUGACUCCCAACUAUAUCUGGUCAACUAUCAAAAGUACCUUCCGAGUCUCACCUGGUUUUUACAUCUCCUAGGACCUUUGAUAGCUAUCCUGUUACUAUUCUUUGUCACUUCCUUGUUUAACCUCUUAGUAAAGUUUGCGUCUUCUGGAUUACAAAACUUCCAGGUAAAGACAAUGCUGGCAGAAGAAUUCCAACCCAUCCUGUCUACUGACCCAGAUAAUGAAAAAGUGUCCUGCCUCUGGGUCCCUUAGUUGAGUUACCCAGGUAUUUUUACUCCUCCAGUGCUAGGCAGGGCCUAUGCCCAUAAGCUCAGCAGGCAACAGUGACAGAAUACAGACCUCUGCCCUUCUACAGCACCCUUAAGAUUAAGGAGGAAUAUGUAAUCUCUGAGGAGAGGAUGAGGUAGGAGGUGGAACUUCACUCCAGAGGCAGGGCUCAGACACUGGACCAGAUUGAGGAUUAGCUAAAACAAAGCCAGAGCAAAAGCAACUUUCCAGACAUACCCACCAGUGUACCAUAUCUAUUUACCACGGCCAUGGCAACACCUGGGGGUUACCUCCCUUUCCAUGGCAAUGACCUGAUGACUCAAAACUUACUACCCCUUACCUAAAAAGUUCUGCAUGAAUCACUAAUCUGAUAUCAAAGGAAAUCUGGCUGUGCAUGUGUGUGCUCUUACUAUGGGUAUCUGAUACCUUGGCAUCAACACAGAAACCCAGGACUGGGAGCAGGGACACAUGUGGCACAGGGGGAAAAUAUACUGACUUCUGUCACAGCCCAAAAGAGCAGGGUCUUAUGGUGGCAUGUGGUAAAUGGGGCAGGUGACACCAACGGAUUUAAUGUGAUUUUAAGCUGUGAACUGUGGAGAACUUUUUCCUAUAGAAAUAGUCAUUAUUGUGAAAAUUCUGAUUUAAAUAUUUCACCCAUAAAAAUAGUUGAACCAUUACUUGGCUUAAAAUAUUUGAGUUAAACAUUUUUGUUCCCAUCAUGACUUUGUGGCUUUCACUGGACCAACCCACCAUUAACAGUAACAAAACUUAAAUGAAAUACAUGAAACAGCUGCUUUAAGGCAUGAGGGUAGCCUGUUCACACAGGAUUUUCUGAGGUAGAAUUCAUGAGAAAGGGGAGAGUCAAUGAUGUAUCACACUGGUUUUUCUUAAGCACUUGAAAAUUAGCAUGAAGGGAACAUAAAGCCCCAGAAGAAAGACAGCCCACCUAGUUGAAAAAAAAUAAGCAGAAAUUUUUGUUUUGUGCAAAAUAGUGGGGCUUCUGCUUCUGGGUAGGAUGCAGUGAAUAAAGAUGAAACAAAUAUAGGAAAAAAAAAAAAAAAAAAACGGAUUCAUUCAAAUUGUAAGCUUUAAAGGCCAGAGAGGAAGACAUAAGAUUCCAAAAGUAAAAGAGCCUUUGUUAGGAGAAGUGAGAAUAUUAAAUAUUUACACACAGAACAGAAAGGUUCUUAAAGAAAAAAAAGCCCAUGGCAACAAAAAUCUCUAUGUUACGACACUUGUACCUGAUUCUGGGAGAUAUUCAUGCAAAUUUAACCACAAUUAUCCAGCACUGCCAAUUUUUAUUUAAAUAGAUUCAUUUGUAAUUAGUUCUAUUUUUGCAAUGUUAAAUUUUGUAAUAUAUUGCCUAUAGUUAUCAAUACUAUAUUAUAUACUUUAAAAUUUGCUACAGGUUGUUAUGUAAGUGGUUUUAUCAUAAAGAAAACAAUGAAAAACGAGGGAAGCAACCUUUGGAGAGGAUGAAUGUGGCAAAGAUGGUGGUGAUGGCUUCAUGGGCUUAUCCUUAUCUCUAAACUUAUUAAGUUGUAUACAUUAAAUAACAGCUUUUGUCAAUUCACUUUGAUAAAGUGGUUUAAAAA